CUUUGCCUGUCUGGCGUUGACCGCACGUUGAUUACCAUUGAUCAGCCUCAAUGGGCGUUGACCAAGCCUUGAUAUGUUGGUGUUUUGAUCAACUCCUGCCAGCGUUGACCAUCCCCUCGGAGUUGACCGGUGGAGAUUAGCCCUUUAAGAUGCAAAUUUCUGCACUGGUUUUACCGCUGAAGUAAUGUUGAUUAUGUUUUGGCAAAAGUUGCCGCCAAGAAGCAUUAAUUCAAACAUAAACUCAAAGAAGGAAGAAAUUUCUUCAAGCUCCGCUAAGCAGACUUAGCUCAUGGAAGGUGACGAAGCCAAUGUGUUGGCUUCCCACAGACAGCGCCAAUGUUAAUGCUUGGAUCCGUGGGGAUCUAAUUAACGAUGAGUAAAGAGAGGGAAAGAGAGAGAGAGAGAGAGUGACACAAGAUGUAUAGUGGUUCGUCUCCGCCUUGGCGGGAGACUACGUCCACUUGAAAGCUUAUACUAGUGUGUUGAGCCUUGCGGCCCAAGAGGGAUUACAAAGCAUGUUGUAAUGGAGUGUGUUGAGUUGUGGGAGGAGAGUUCCUUUUAUAGGUGAAGGAAGCCAUCUCCUUUACAUUUUCUUAGAUGUGGGACAAGAACUCACUAUUCUAGUAUAGAAAUGCAUAUUGUGGAGGCAACUUGGCAAGGCCGGAAAGGUGGCUUCCCGGCGACGGAUUUGCGACUUCCGGAUACCGUAGCGUAGCUUGAACAUAGGGCUACAAGAUGCAAGUAGCGGUUGGGCCUCACCAUGGCUUGUGGGUGUCCCAAAGAGGGUGUUACUUAUGCUUGGUGAUGUAGUAAAUACUCCAUAUUGUUGGAGGUAUGUACACUCACCAACCAAACAUACCAGAUUCAAUCAGAAAAUUUUAGGUAUAACACAGCAACAAUGUAGCUCAAGUGUCGGAACAGAGCACUGACAAUAGAGCUUGAUUUUGGAAGCUGCCAACCGGACCAUAACUCAAUUGGGGGAUAAACACUGUCCGCCGGCGCCGGCUUCAACGUACCCGAACCAAUAAAGCAUUGAUCAUGAUGCACUUGUUCAUAACCAAAACGUGAAGCUGGUGCACCACGCUUAUGCUCCCAUUCACCAGCCCUAUACUUCUCUUCCUCAUCCUCGUCAUCUUCUCUAAUUCCCUAUUGCAUUGCUCCGAAUCAAAGGACAUACCAAGCCACAAACAUUAGUGCAGUAAUUGUCAGUCUUCUUAGAGCAGUAAGAACUUCCCCCUUCACUCAUCAUCCACCACAUUCUUUAGAUCGAUCAAAUUACUCAAAUGUUCAACGCCUAGAACCAGAUUCCGGAUUCAAUUCAGUUCUCUCGAGAUCUCCACAGACUAAGAAAGAAAGCCCCUUUAGUAUUAAACGACUAAAGCUGAAUCCUUUAUCUCUCUUAAACAAUUAGAGAGAGUUUGAAACCUUUUAGGGUUUGGGUUUUGCUGAGGGGAAUCGGAAGGGGAAUAAGAGAAGGAAAUGUUAAGGAAAGGUAAAGACUUUGUUGAUGUUGUUGGGUUGUGGCCACCCUGGUAUUAGGUGUCACGAGUGCUCAAGCGCUUGAAGCGAGGUCUGUUGGAGAAGUGGCAGCCCCAACCCAUUUGGGGUUUGGCAGCGUUGGGCUGAGGCUUCUGGCCCGACGAGGUCGGUUGGGAUUUACAACUAGUACUUGACCUCUUGGGAUGCUGAUGCAGCUGCACUACUACAAAAAUUGAAUCAGACGACGCAUCAUAGUUUUCUGUCGUCUGAUUGAUUUUUAUUUUUUUGUACGUCGCUUUUAUAAAACCCGUCGUCUGAUAUAGUAUAAUGAAUUAGUUCAGAAGACGUUUAAGGAUAAAAUUGUCGUAUGACCCUAAAAUAAUUGAGCGGCAAGUUUCCCACCAUGUCUGUGGUGCCAAACCCCAUGUCAAACCCAAUUUUUUCCCCCCAACAUGUAGUAAUCAUACGACGAGAAACAAUAAAACUGUGGUCUGAUUAAUAUGUUUGGCAGAAAGCAAGGAGAUUUCCCACCAUCAUUUUUCUCUAACUCCCCAAUGAGGGAAGUCAAAUUGACAGAAGACAAUUUCAAAUUUAAAACUCAUGUACUCAGACCACAUUGUUAUAAAAUUCUGUUGUGUGAGUCUUUACGGGGUUUGUCCAAAUUCAUAGGGCAGGACUUGAAACCCUACACCAAAAACCAAAACCCUCACUCCUCACUCUCGACAGCUCCCCACUCUCUCUCGACACAAAGCCAAAACCAAAACCCUUACUCUCUUCUUCGACAAAGCUCUCUCCCCCCCCCCCCCCCUCAACAAACCCCGACCUCUCUCUCUCUUUGACAAACCCUAUCUCUUCUUCCACAAACCCCAACGAAAGCUCUUUCUCUCUUCGACAAACCCCGACCAAAACCUAAUGGGUUAUUCGAUCUGGGAAAUAGCGAAGGCCUUCAUCGACGACCACUUUGAGCUCGCUGUUGACCUCUACACCCAGGCCAUCGUCGUCGACCCCAACAACUCCGAGUUCUACUCAGACCGCGCUCAGGCCAACAUCAAAUCCAACAAUCUCACCGAGGCUGUAGAAAACCUAAUGGGUAGACCUCUAGUGUUUUUCAGAUCUUUCGGCAGUGGAGUGUUGCUUUCGGCGGAUUCGAAAUUCAGCUAUGGGUAACCAAGAUUUGAAUUCGAACAUUGGAGCUGUGGAUUUGGGAUUGAAGGCAAAAAUGUCAAAAUUGGGGCUAAGAAGAUAACUAAGAAGGUUUCUGGUAUUCUUUUCCUUGUUUUUCCUUCACAGAACAUGAUUUUGCCCUUAUAUCAGGACUUUGGUCUGUAAGGCUGUUCUUUGGUGGAAGAUAUGGGGGUUGAAGAUUUGGGAUUUGAGAAGGUCCAAGGACCAGUUGGGACUGUCACUGAAAGAGAGAAUUCCGCCAAGGAAAAUGGGAAACUGGAAGAAGGGUCAGGCCAUAAUGAGCCCAUAAAAUUUUGAUCACAAGGUGAUGAAAUGGCUAAAAAGGAAAGGAAUGGGGUCAACGGCGAUGGAACUUGUGAGAAUUCUCCCUAGUGCAGAAGAUGAGGUCAACGUAGCUUGUUUUCAUCCUUCUGUCGGAGGUGGCCUUGUUUAUGGAACUAAGGAAGCUAUAGAUGUGACCACUGCCAUCCAAGAAGAGAUUUCUGGAAAUGGGUAUUGGUAAGUUCGUUCUAUAGGUAUUUUAGCUUGUGUAAGGAUGCACAAGGCUAGUAAGUCCUGGCUCCGGUUCUGAGGGUGGGAGGGAUUUAUUAGGCCUAAAAUAGCAUAUUAUGUUUUGAACAUUUGAAGGCACAAAUCUUACCUUAGAAGGAAGAACAUAAAAUAGCAGUUAUCAUCAUUACUGGAACCUCUUUUGUUUGGCUGGCAGGUGGUAAUGGAUGUUGGCUGUGGUACAUGAAUUCUUUCUAUCUUUUGUGCUCAAGCUGGUGCAAAACGUGUACAUGAUCCUAGCAUUGACUGGUUAGAAAGGGUAUAAUUGAAUUGCAGUGUUUCUGUUUUGGCAUGUGUACCCCUCAGCGAACUAUUGAUCCAUAUGCAGCUGGAACUACAUAAAGAGAGCAAAAAGCUCCUACAGAAACUUCUAAAGCUAGACUCCAAUGAGGCCAUGAGAGCAGCAAAGCUUGCAAAGCUAGACUCCUUAAGUAAAUUUCUCGAUGUAUAUUGCUAGGAGAGUAGUAUUAGAUGUACUCCUUUUGUAGAUGAAAGAUUACCUUUGCACAAUCUAUUUUGGUGCAUGAUGUGGAUUAUAACAAUUUCUUCUAUAUAUUGAUCAGCUACUGUUAAUUUGAUCAUUUUUUA